rnacentral:tRNA from 1 species
GCGGAGGUAGCCAAGUCUGGUCAAAGUCGUAUGAAGCACCAGCUAUUAUGGUACUUCACUCGGUGGAAGCGCAAGGCUUAGGACCUUGUCGGUAACACAUGACAUGCCAAUGCAUGUCUGUCGGCAAUAGUCCGUUCGUCGGUUCGAAUCCGGCCCUCCGCA